rfam:Paenibacillus sp. FSL A5-0031 NODE_3_length_466146_cov_1.36898_ID_5123, whole genome shotgun sequence.
UCGGGAGAGGUUCGCGAACUCCCUCUAUAAAAAACUAUGCGAAA